rnacentral:rRNA from 1 species
UACAUAGGGGGCGAGCGUUGUCCGGAUUUACUGGGCGUAAAGCGCGCGUAGGUGGAACGACCAGUCCGGCUUGAAAGCCCCCGGCUCAACCGGGGAGAGUGGCUGGAAACUGUCGUUCUUGAGGGCGAGAGAGGAGGGUGGAAUUCCUGGUGUAGCGGUGAAAUGCGUAGAGAUCAGGAGGAACACCCGGGGCGAAGGCGGCCCUCUGGCUCGACCCUGACGCUGAGGCGCGAAAGCGUGGGGAGCGAACAGG